GAAGAAACCACUCUGCAGUAAGUGUGUCACCCACCCAUUUAGUCCCUACAAACGCAUACUGUGAGAUGAGCUGUUUUCUUUUCGAAUGAGAAAACAGAACUAUCCGUUUCACCUUGAAAUGGAGCAGCAAUUCCACGGCCUGAGUGAAAUGCUAGAAUGCCAUCAAUGGGCUUUAGCGUGAGGCGGUGGGCUGCAUUCAGCUGGACAGCGUGAAAACCUAAUAUAGUGUGGUUUCAGAGCAAGGCUCAAAGCCUGUGGCGAGUUGUUGUGGUUUCUGCACCACCGCCCUCCUGUUCAGCUCAUCCUCCAGCAUUUUCUCAAUAUACCUCCACCUCUGCAAGCUGGAGCUCACAGUCCGGCCAGCCUAAUCUCCACCGUGCUUAAUGUGCUCUUCCCACUCCCGCUCUAAACCUCUGCGAGACGCCGGGCGGACACCAGCGGACGACGUCUCAUGGACUCAUUCUGCAGCUCAGCGUGCCGCCAACAGGAGUUCACUUGUCAGAACCGAUUACUCACAGAGAUUGCUGAUCAAAUCGUCCAAUCAUCCAAACUCUGAAACAGUUUUCACUUUUCAAUCUUCCUGCUGGAAAUGUGACCCCAUUUUUUUCUUUUUCUUUAUGGCUUCUCUCCUGGACCUCGGGUGGAACCUGGAUCUGCUUCCUGUAUCUUUCAAAGCGGUUUAAAAUAAUUCCUCCAACACUGGUCCCUCCUUUUGUGUCGGUCUGGAGGGAAAAGAAAACAUCAGCUGAACAGACAUCGCGGUUUGGUGUUUGUCGCAUGAGAACGGCUGCACCCUCCACGCCGGGAAAUGAGGUGAAACAGAAAGGAAGAGGCAAAGCGUCGCUGCAGAUGCCCUCUUCUGGGCCAGGCCUCCCUAAGGACAGGCUCGUCUUGGACUGAGCUGCGUGAUCUGGCGAGAGACGGUCUGGUGAAUCCAUUAGCUGAGCCUUUAAUAGGAAGCUACACCUGGGUUCUUGUUGUCACAGCAUCCCUGUUCCUGCCUCCUCCUUCUUCCUGCCAGCUGAACUCCAAGAGAACCGGGAAAAAAAAAUCAUUUAUUGGGUGUUUCUGAAUAAACAUGUUGCUUUUGUGAAAAAGUCAAUCUUCAACAACAAAGCUUUAACCAGCUUUAACCAGCAACACCCCCCCACCCCUACUGCACAUGCACUGCCUUACAUUGUUUAAUAUGUCGCCUUGUUUGUCUUUAAUUUGACUGUUUUUGUUCUUUGGGUUUUCGUUUUAAUCUGAACUGACUUGCAAACAAAUAAAUCUCCACGUAUCUUUACCUUUCA